UUAUCGGUACGGGUUGUGGGAGCAAGAUCCCGGAGAUGGAUUCUGAGACAUGAAUCCAGGCCCUACGGGGCGCAGCAGGCGCGCAAACUUUACAAUGCGAGCAAUCGUGAUAAGGAAACCCUGAGUGCCUGUCGAUGCAGGCUGUUCAUAUAUUUAAAUUGUAUGUGAAGAAAGGGCAGGGCAAGACCGGUGCCAGCCGCCGCGGUAAUACCGGCUGCUCGAGUGAUGGCCACUAUUACUGGGUUUAAAGCGUCCGUAGCUUGAUUUUUAGGUCUCUUGGGAAAUCUUUUGGCUUAACCACAAGGCGUCUAAGAGAUACCGGAAAUCUUGGAACUGGGAGAGGUAAGCCGUACUUCGGGGGUAGGAGUGAAAUCUUGUAAUCCUCGAGGGACGACCUAUGGCGAAGGCAGCUUACCAGAACAGCUUCGACAGUGAGGGACGAAAGCUGGGGGAGCAAACGGGAUUAGAUACCCCGGUAGUCCCAGCCGUAAACAAUGUGCGUUAGGUGUGUCGGUUACCACGCGUAACUGAUGCGCCGAAGAGAAAUCGUGAAACGCACCACCUGGGAAGUACGGUCGCAAGGCUGAAACUUAAAGGAA
rnacentral:rRNA from 1 species